UUUAAAAUCUAAAAUUCCCGGUAAAUACCUCAGACUCAAGGUUACAAUCCCGCUAUGCUUCAAGCUUAAUACUGAAGCUAGCUACAAGCCACGCCGAUUGACGGCCGUCAUUACGAUGCCAGUGCUAGAGUCGCGGUUACUCCGUGUGCACGUGGUGGGUCCAGUCAACAUUUCAGUACUGUGUUAAAACAUCAUGCCGCCUCCUAAAAAAAAUUAUCUCGGGAAGAGAUAUUUUUUACAAAACAAAAGAGAAGCCGAAAAGGCUCAAUUAGCAAAGAUUAAAAGCGACCCUAUCAAAUUAGCUGAGCUUAAAGA